rnacentral:lncRNA from 1 species
AGAGGAGAACAAAGGAAGGAGCAAGUAACUUGUGGAAUGCUGAGAAAGUUGCUGAAUACCUGAAAAUUCUCCUGUGAUAAAGACCCAGCCAGCAUCCUCGAGUGUGGACCACGUUAAGGGAAAGCUUGAAGGAAAAGAGAGACUUUGCGGACCCCAAUUAAAUAGUUUACCCUAGAAGAAUAGAACCUAUUUGGGGUGGGGUGAGUGGCUGCAAGAGGGACGUUUCCCCAGGACAUCAUGCACAAAAGGGGCUUCAAAUGUAGUCUUUUGACUUAUCUCCAAAUGAAGAUUUCUAUGUUGGAUGCAUGUAGAAAGCUUUCAUAUUGAAGCAGAGUUUUCAGUGAAGUUGGAAAAAGAAGAACAAAGGUGAAGAUAUCCACUUAGCAACUCUCAUCAUUUGUGUGUCACCAUGGCUUCAGAGACAGGGAUACACAUUUAGUAUGAAAAGGAGGCUUGGAGGUUAGCGGAGAGUUGGUGGUGGUAUAGAGUAAGAAGACCUUUUCAAAGUUUGCUUUCUUGAAGAGCACUAGCUUCCCUGGCAUGGCCAAUGGGGUGUUUGCUGUUCAGUAGCUAUAACUUAAAGUGCUUAAAACCACAAGAUUUACUGCUCCUAAAGGUACCGAAUACAGCUAUUCAGUAUGCAUGC